rnacentral:rRNA from 1 species
CAGCAGCCGCGGGAAUACGAAGGGUGCAAGCGUUAAUCGGAAUUACUGGGCGUAAAGCGUGCGUAGGCGGCGAGUUAAGUCUGCUGUGAAAUCCCCGGGCUCAACCUGGGAAUGGCAGUGGAUACUGGCUCGCUAGAGUGUGUCAGAGGAUGGUGGAAUUCCCGGUGUAGCGGUGAAAUGCGUUGAGAUCGGAUGGAACGCCCGUGGCGAAAGCGAGGUCCUGGACGUCUUCUGACGCUGAGACGCGAAAGCUAGGGUAGCGAACGGGAUUAGAGACCCCAGUAGUCCCUGUCUCUUAUAC